rnacentral:rRNA from 1 species
UGAGGGAUGACGGCCUUCGGGUUGUAAACCUCUUUCAGCACGGAAGAAGCGAAAGUGACGGUACGUGCAGAAGAAGCGCCGGCUAACUACGUGCCAGCAGCCGCGGUAAUACGUAGGGCGCAAGCGUUGUCCGGAAUUAUUGGGCGUAAAGAGCUCGUAAGCGGUUUGUCGCGUCUGCUGUGAAAGCCCGGGGCUUAACCCCGGGUGUGCAGUGGGUACGGGCAGACUUGAGUGCAGUAGGGGAGACUGGAACUCCUGGUGUAGCGGUGAAAUGCGCAGAUAUCAGGAAGAACACCGAUGGCGAAAGCAGGUCUCUGGGCUGUUACUGACGCUGAGGAGCGAAAGCAUGGGGAGCGAACAGGAUUAGAUACCCUGGUAGUCCAUGCCGUAAACGUUGGGCACUAGGUGUGGGGGACAUUCCACGUUUUCCGCGCCGUAGCUAACGCAUUAAGUGCCCCGCCUGGGGAGUACGGCCGCAAGGCUAAAACUCAAAGGAAUUGACGGGGGCCCGCACAAGCGGCGGAGCAUGCGGAUUAAUUCGAUGCAACGCGAAGAACCUUACCAAGGCUUGACAUACACCGGAUCGGCUCAGAGAUGAGUUUUCCUCCUUGUGGGGCUGGUGUACAGGUGGUGCAUGGUUGUCGUCAGCUCGUGUCGUGAGAUGUUGGGUUAAGUCCCGCAACGAGCGCAACCCUCGUUCUAUGUUGCCAGCACGUGAUGGUGGGGACUCAUAGGAGACUGCCGGGGUCAACUCGGAGGAAGGUGGGGAUGACGUCAAAUCAUCAUGCCCCUUAUGUCUUGGGCUUCACGCAUGCUACAAUGGCCAGUACAAUGGGUUGCGAUACCGUGAGGUGGAGCUAAUCCCAAAAAGCUGGUCUCAGUUCGGAUCGUGGUCUGCAACUCGACCACGUGAAGUCGGAGUCGC